rnacentral:rRNA from 1 species
CUACCAUGGCAGUCACGGGUAACGGAGAAUUAGGGUUCGAUUCCGGAGAGGGAGCCUGAGAAACGGCUACCACAUCUACGGAAGGCAGCAGGCGCGCAAAUUGCCCAAUCCCGACACGGGGAGGCAGUGACAAGAAAUAACAACUCUAGGUUUUCUUAGAAGUGUAAUGAGGAUAAUUUACAAACCUUACCGAAUGCAAUUGGAGGGCAAGUCUGAUGCCAGCAGCCGCGGUAAUUCCAGCUCCAAUAGCGUAUAUUAAAGUUGUUGCAGUUAAAAAGCUCGUAGUUGAAGUUCUGAUUGUUCGGGUUUCUAGACAUUAGUCGGAGAUACUGACAGUCAUCCGCUUGCAAACAUAUGUUCGAUCUUUACCGGUUGGCUAUGUGAGUAAGCAUUUUACCUUGAGAAAAACAGAGUGUUCCAGGCAGGUUUGUCCGGAAUGCAUUAGCAUGGAAUAAUAGAAUAUGACUGAAGUCUAUUUAUUGGUUACAGGCUUUAGUAAUGAUUAAUAGGAACAGUCGGGGGCAUUCGUACUCAGCAGUCAGAGGUGAAAUUCUAAGAUUUGCUGAAGACGAACUAAUGCGAAAGCAUUUGCCAAGGAUGUUUUCAUUAAUCAAGAACGAAAGUUAGGGGAUC